CUAGUAACUGCGAGUGAAGCGGGAAAAGCUCAAAUUUAAAAUCUGGUGGUCUUUGGCCAUCCGAGUUGUAAUUUAGAGAAGCGUCUUCCGCGCUGGACCGUGCAUAAGUCUCCUGGAAUGGAGCAUCAUAGAGGGUGAGAAUCCCGUCUUUGGCACGGAAACCCCAGGGCUUCUGUGAUGCGCUCUCGAAGAGUCGAGUUGUUUGGGAAUGCAGCUCAAAAUGGGUGGUGAACUCCAUCUAAAGCUAAAUAUUGGCGAGAGACCGAUAGCGAACAAGUACCGUGAGGGAAAGAUGAAAAGCACUUUGGAAAGAGAGUGAAACAGUACGUGAAAUUGUUGAAAGGGAAACGCUUAAAGUCAGUCGCGUUGACCGAGACUCAGCCUUGCCGCCUAGGCUUGGUGUACUUCUCGGCUGACGGGUCAGCAUCAAUUUUGAUCCUUGGAUAAUGGCAAGGGAAAGGUAGCACCUUUACAGGUGUGUUAUAGUCCUAUGUCGUAUGCAGGGGUUGGGAUUGAGGAACUCAGCAUGCACCUCUUGGUGUCAGGGCCUUGGCCCAUGUUACGUGCUUAGGAUGCUGGCAUAAUGGCUUUAAACGACCCGUCUUGAAACACGGACCAAGGAGUCUAACAU
rnacentral:rRNA from 2 species